GAUGAACGCUGGCGGCGUGCUUAACACAUGCAAGUCGAACGGAAAGGCUCCUGCUUGCAGGGGCACUCGAGUGGCGAACGGGUGAGUAACACGUGGGUGAUCUGCCCUGCACUUCGGGAUAAGCCUGGGAAACUGGGUCUAAUACCGGAUAGGACGAUGGUUUGGAUGCCAUCGUGGAAAGUUUUUUCGGUGUGGGAUGAGCUCGCGGCCUAUCAGCUUGUUGGUGGGGUAAUGGCCUACCAAGGCGUCGACGGGUAGCCGGCCUGAGAGGGUGUACGGCCACAUUGGGACUGAGAUACGGCCCAGACUCCUACGGGAGGCAGCAGUGGGGAAUAUUGCACAAUGGGCGAAAGCCUGAUGCAGCGACGCCGCGUGGGGGAUGACGGCCUUCGGGUUGUAAACGCCUUUCGCUAGGGACGAAGCGCAAGUGACGGUACCUGGAGAAGAAGCACCGGCUAACUACGUG
rnacentral:rRNA from 1 species